rnacentral:rRNA from 1 species
GUCUAAGGCCAUGCCACCCUGAACAAGCCCGAUCCCAUCUGAUCUCGGAAGCUAAGCCGGGUCGGGCCUGCUUAGUACUUGGAGAAGAGACCACCUAGGAAGACUAGGUGCUGUAGGCA